AAUAAUAAUAAUAAAUUGGUGAAUGAGGAAAUGACAGCGAGGACGGAAGUCGCAUUUGCUUCUCUGGAUCAAACACCAAUAACAAAUAAUAAACCAGUUUGCAAACUAACAGUUUUCAGUUUUCCAUUACAUCUUCUGUUACUUUUCCGUUUUCAUCAUCAAUUCUCUAUACAUCUACUUUCUGCAAAAUUUUCCCAAUUUCCACUCACAAAUCUCAUAAAACAUGUCAUACGCAUACCUCUUCAAGUACAUCAUCAUCGGAGAUACUGGAGUUGGGAAAUCCUGUCUUCUGCUUCAGUUCACGGACAAGAGGUUCCAGCCCGUCCAUGACCUCACCAUAGGUGUGGAAUUUGGGGCUCGAAUGAUCACUAUCGACAACAAACCAAUCAAGCUCCAAAUUUGGGACACGGUUUCUUUCUAUUCUUUUUCUCAUCUUCUCUAUUUUCAUCCAAUUUGUCAAAUUUCUUUAUUUUCUUCUUGAUAUGAUAGGCGGGUCAAGAAUCCUUUAGAUCUAUUACGAGGUCCUAUUAUAGAGGGGCUGCUGGUGCUUUGCUCGUCUAUGACAUUACCAGGUAGGAAACGUACUUGGGAGUAUUUAUUUUCUUGUUUGUAAUCAUCAGUUGCUCUAUCUUUUUAUUGGUUCUAUGGUAUAAACUGUUCUUUUGUAUGCAAGUUUCUAGAUGGAUUAGGGGUUUUCUAUUAUGUGCAAAUUAUACCACAUGAUGCUCGUGGCGCUCUCGUAAACUCAUUAAAUUCUGGAAUUUGCAUUGCUUCUUCACAUGUUUCCCUUAUACUAUUGUCGCCUAAGAUAUCCAAUCAGAGUACCUAUUUCUAAAUUCUAAUGUCAUGAUACAGUGUUGGGCAGUUGCUUAGCAUAAUUACGGGCAAGCCUACCUUCUGUCCCUGUUGUGGUAUGCUUAGUAUUGAUGUCUACUUUCUUUUCUUUUUUAUACAGGAGGGAAACUUUUAAUCACUUGGCUAGCUGGCUGGAGGACGCCAGGCAGCAUGCAAAUGCUAACAUGACAAUUAUGCUUAUUGGUAAUAAGUGCGAUCUUGCCCAUAGAAGGGCUGUGAGCACAGAAGAAGGGGAACAAUUUGCCAAGGAGCAUGGUUUAAUCUUUAUGGAGGCUUCAGCAAAAACUGCUCAGAAUGUUGAGGAGGUGAAGGCACAUAGUGCCCAUAUGGUGGAGAAUAUUUUGGAACAAAUUUUUUUUUUUAAUCAUCUUUUAAAUUAGAUUUUCUUAUAGGAAGAUUCUCCAUGCAGGCAUUUAUUAAAACAGCUGCAACAAUAUAUAAGAAGAUUCAGGAUGGAGUUUUUGAUGUAUCAAAUGAGGUCAGUUUUCUUUCUUUUACAUGGUCACUCGCACAAAUGGUCUAAAUAUUUCCAGCAUAUUGAUGUUUUAGUAAUGUAUCUAUGGUCCAUUUGACUGACUUCUCCAUGUCAAUUGAUUAUGUGAAUUUUGAAAAUUGAAGGUAGACUACCCAUUAAGGUUGGCUAAAUUGUUACAACUUGAAUGAUCCCAAGUGGGGGUCAUGGAUUCAAAAUAUAGAUAUUUUCGUGAAGAGAGAGGGAGACGAUGACGAUGAUUUUACUGGUUUUGGCUGCUUUGGUUAUUACUCUUUGCUAUUGUCUUCUUAGGAAAAGAUCUGAGUACCUUUGGUUACUGCCAUGAAAAUUAGGUGUUAGAGGGUGUUUGAAUUGAUGAGGUUUGCUUAUUGAUCUUCAUGUUGCUGCUAUUCAAGUUUUCAUGAUCUCAGUUGUUUUCAGCUUACAAUGUUGCUCAUUGUUGAUGUUCUUGUGAAAAGAUACAAGUGACAUUGAUUAGUGCUAUGAAAAUUUUUUAUAGAAGGUUUUUCAAAUUAACAAGGUUUGCUUAUCAAUCUUUGUGCAAAUUUUCAUGGAAUUAAUCUGUUUGCAAUUUAUUGUGCUAAUUUGCAUUAUUUUCAAGAAUGAAGCAUGGCCAGUAGGUAUGAGGCCUGCAUGCACACCUAUUGCAGUAUUGCUGGAAGAGAGUUGUAGAUGGUGUUGCUGAUACGAUGUUUUGGUUCUUUGCAGUCAUAUGGAAUAAAAGUUGGAUAUGGUGGAAUCCCAGGGCCCUCUGGAGGCAGAGAUGGCUCUUCUUCUCAAGCUGGAGGCUGCUGCAGUUGAAUUUCAAACUCAUUUGUUACACUGAGUCACAACCAGUUGACUUUUCUUCUGUCAUUUGUGUCUGAAUAUUGUAACUUGUUUUUGAUAUGUGCGGAUUCAGGGGGUGAUACAUGUACAAUCCACCUUGAUGUUCCGUGUAUUGAUUGUAAAUUCAUCAAAUGCUUUAGUUUCCUUUCCCAUUAUUUUGCCGGAUUGUAUUAGUUUCUUCCUUUGCAGUGUUGAAGGAAACUCUGAAUUGUGAAAUACAGAAAGUCUAUUUUAAUCUUUGUACUUGUUUUGUAUUAAUGUUUGAUAUCUGAACAGCAGAUUUGUUGAGGAGCUAAACUAGGUAGUUUUAUUUGGUGGGGAUGUAAGUGAAUUUUGGAUCAAAUCCCCAAGGCACCCCUUGC
rnacentral:misc_RNA from 1 species